rnacentral:rRNA from 1 species
UACAGAGGGUGCAAGCGUUAUUCGGAAUCAUUGGGCGUAAAGCGCGCGCAGGCGGUUUGGUAAGUUCGAUGUGAAAACCCUGGGCUUAAUCCAGGAGGUGCAUUGAAUACUGCCAGGCUGGAGUGCAGGAGAGGAGAGCGGAAUUCCUGGUGUAGAGGUGAAAUUCGUAGAUAUCAGGAGGAACAACAGUGGCGAAGGCGGCUCUCUGGACUGUUACUGACGCUGAGGCGCGAAAGCGUGGGGAGCAAACAGG